CCUACGGGAGGCAGCAGUGGGGAAUGUUGGACAAUGGGCGCAAGCCUGAUCCAGCGAUUCCGCGUGUGGGAUGAAGGCCCUCGGGUUGUAAACCACUUUUGUAGAGAACGAAAAGACACCUUCGAAUAAAGGGUGUUGCUGACGGUACUCUAAGAAGAAGCACCGGCUAACUACGUGCCAGCAGCCGCGGUAAUACGUAGGGUGCGAGCGUUAAGCGGAAUUACUGGGCGUAAAGGGUGCGCAGGCGGUUGAGUAAGACAGAUGUGAAAUCCCCGAGCUUAACGCGGGAAUGGCUUAUGUGCCUUCUCGACUAGAGUGUGUCAGAGGGAGGUGGAAUUCCACGUGUAGCCGU
rnacentral:rRNA from 1 species